rnacentral:rRNA from 1 species
UACGGGGGGGGGCAAGCGUUGUUCGGAAUUACUGGGCGUAAAGGGCUCGUAGGCGGCCAACUAAGUCAGACGUGAAAUCCCUCGGCUUAACCGGGGAACUGCGUCUGAUACUGGAUGGCUUGAGUUCGGGAGAGGGAUGCGGAAUUCCUGGUGUAGCGGUGAAAUGCGUAGAUAUCAGGAGGAACACCUGUGGCGAAAGCGGCUCACUGGACCAUAACUGACGCUGAGGCGCGAAAGCUAGGGGAGCAAACAGG